AACGAACGCUGGCGGCAUGCCUAACACAUGCAAGUCGAACGAGACCUUCGGGCCUAGUGGCGCACGGGUGCGUAACGCGUGGGAACCUGCCCUUAGGUUCGGAAUAACUCCCCGAAAGGGGUGCUAAUACCGGAUAAUGUCUUCGGACCAAAGAUUUAUCGCCUUUGGAUGGGCCCGCGUUGGAUUAGCUAGUUGGUAGGGUAAAAGCCUACCAAGGCGACGAUGCAUAGCUGGUCUGAGAGGAUGAUCAGCCACACUGGGGCUGAGACACGGCCCAGACUCCUACGGGAGGCAGCAGUGGGGAAUAUAGGACAAUGGGCGAAAGCCUGAUCCAGCAAUGCCGCGUGAGUGAUGAAGGCCUUAGGGUUGUAAAGCUCUUUUACCCGGGAUGAUAAUGACGGUACCGGGAGAAUAAGCACCGGCUAACUCCGUG
rnacentral:rRNA from 1 species